AUUGAACGCUGGCGGCAGGCCUUACACAUGCAAGUCGAACGAGUGGCGGACGGGUGAGUAAUGUCUGGGAAACUGCCCGAUGGAUGGGGAUAACUACUGGAAACGGUUGCUAAUUCCGCAUACCAUCAGAUGUGCCCAGAUGGGAUUCGCUUGUUGGUGGGGUAACGGCCCACCAAGGCGACGAUCCCUAGCUGGUCGGAGAGGAUGACCAGCCACACUGGAACUGAUACACGGUCCAGACGCCUACGGGAGGCAGCAGUGGGGAAUAUUGCACAAUGGGCGAAAGCCUGAUGCAGCCAUGCCGCGUGUAUGAGGAAGGCCUUCGGGUUGUAAAGUACUGUCAGCAGGGAGGCGUUACCCGCAGAAGAAGCACCGGCUAACUCCGUGCCAGCAGCCGCGGUAAUUC
rnacentral:rRNA from 1 species